rnacentral:rRNA from 1 species
GUGGGGAAUAUUGGACAAUGGGCGCAAGCCUGAUCCAGCCAUACCGCGUGGGUGAAGAAGGCCUUCGGGUUGUAAAGCCCUUUUGUUGGGAAAGAAAUCCUGUCGAUUAAUACUCGGUGGGGAUGACGGUACCCAAAGAAUAAGCACCGGCUAACUUCGUGCCAGCAGCCGCGGUAAUACGAAGGGUGCAAGCGUUACUCGGAAUUACUGGGCGUAAAGCGUGCGUAGGUGGUGGUUUAAGUCUGCUGUGAAAGCCCUGGGCUCAACCUGGGAAUUGCAGUGGAUACUGGAUCACUAGAGUGUGGUAGAGGGAUGCGGAAUUUCUGGUGUAGCAGUGAAAUGCGUAGAGAUCAGAAGGAACAUCCGUGGCGAAGGCGGCAUCCUGGGCCAACACUGACACUGAGGCACGAAAGCGUGGGGAGCAAACAGGAUUAGAUACCCCAGUAGUCC